GGCCUAAAUUUGCCUAAACGCGCAAUGAAUUAUUUAAUUAAAUAUGUGAAUCAAUUUUAAUAUAAAAUGUUAACGGCCUAAAUUUGCCUAAACGCGCAAUGAAUAUUUGUAUAAAAGCAUUCCCUCCCCACGCCCCAAAAAUAAAAUUUUCACUAUAAAUGAUACUUGUACAAUGAUAAGAAUAAAAGAAAAUACAAAUACAAAAAAAAUUCAAGAUCUUCUUUGAAUAUCAGUCCUGACGAGUAUUCUCGAGAACCUACACAAACACUUGUAAUAAAAAUAUUAGUAAUAAAUAAAUAUUUACCAAAAUAAAUUUAAAAGGUAUGUGUGCAUAUAUGCGUUUAAAAAUAUUUUUUUUUGCUAAAAUAUGGGCUCAAAUUAGAUUUUAGAUACGACAUGGAUACGAAGUGGUUGCUGAUUUAUUAGCUGUCCUAAAUCGUCUUGCCAAGAUAGAAUCAUAAAAAAUUUUGCGUUGUUAUAAAAAUUUCAUCAUCGCCCAAAUUUAUUUAUUUUAUUACGUAUUUAUAUACAUAAUAUCCAUCUUUUAUAAUGGGGUGACCUCAAAUAUCCAGACGGAGAGAUAAUUUCAUUGACCAAUAGCAUAGUAUUUGUUCAUUAUCAAUUUAAUAAAAUUAAUAUGGACAAAAAUGUAAUGUAAUUGCCCCAAAAGAGAGACAAUAUCAACCAUGAAACUAGCAUAGCAACAACCCAAAACAAAGGCAAUAACAGCUAUGAUACCAGUAAAGUAACAACCAAAAUAAAUGCAAUAACAGCUAUGACACCAGCAAAGUAACAACCAAAAUAAAGGCAAUAACAACUAUGAUACCAGGAAAGUAACAACCAAAAUACCCGAACAAAUCACAAAUCCGCUAAAGAUUUAAAAAAAAUAAUAUAAUGAACAGCAACAAAUAAAUCAAGCAAAUAAUUACAACAUAUGCAAAUAUGUAUCAAAGAAGAGGUCGCCGGAUACGACAUCUUGUCUGUCAGAUCCAUGCAAAAAAAGCCCACAACAUACAAAAUUAAUGAGACGCAGUUCAUCAGAAGUAAAAAGUCGAAGCAAUGGUAAUUACCGGCGUUGCUUCAACGACUUUCGUCGGAGCAACCCCGGAUACACCAAGCACCGGAUAGAUAUGGUGGUUUGUCACUAGGGGGAUUCAUCGGAAAGUUAAAAAAUGAGGGUGGCGCUAGUGGUUUAGGCUAGAUCUCGCUAGAGAUGGAGGAAGAGGAGAGAAGGGAGAGAGGGGUGGUGGUGCGUGAUGGUUUGCCAGAAUUUGGCUAUAGCUCACCCGAGAGAGGAGAGAAAAAAAAGGUCCACUGAUUUUGUGCUUAUGUACGUGUAUUGUGUGUGUGGAGCAUUUAAAAAAGGAAAAAUAAAAAAAAUAAUAUUCAUAUCUACUUUUUCCCAACAAGUCUCUCAAAUUAGGGAUAGUAGGUGAACAUAAAGUCAAAAAAUUUAAAAAGUGAGGAGACCUUGAUUUGACUAAUUUAUUAUUUUGUGUAUUAAAAUAAUUAAAUCAACUCACUUUUGCAGGUCGCAUUAAAUAACAUAUAAAAUAAUGAAUGAAUGUGAUCUUCUCUAAAUCUCUAACGGUCAUAUUUGACUGUUCGGCGACGGAGCUGCACCGUCACACGUAAGGAACAUCCUCCCUCCCUCAUUCUCUCCUCCUAGUUUCUCUCUCUCUCAGGCUCUCUCUCUAUCUCGAGAUUUCUCUACCACAAUGUCACUACUAUCGCCGAUGAAUUUAGGAUUUCUGCUGACUCAACUCCGACGAUGAUGCAGGGUGUAGCAUCGAUCAGAACUGGUUAAAACAGUUAGUCCGACGAUGAUCGGUGACCAAAUUCUGGCAACAACAGGAAGACACUUUGGAGAUAUUUUCCGGCAGCACUUUCCAGCAGCUCUAUUUUGGCAACCUAUUUUGACAUCAACACUGCCGUAACCAGGAAAUGCAGUACUCCGGUGACAUCCAAACCUUUUUCUUUAAUUAAGCUUUAGUGACUCCGGCAACCUUUUUUUCUUUAGUUACACUUUAUUGUUUGUUUUUUAUUGUUUCCCUGUUUGUGUUUUAUUGUUGUUUUUUUUAUUGUUUCCCUGUAGUGUGUUCUGGUGCAUAUCUGUUAUUUGCCUACUGUUUACAUAUUGUUGCUUUGUUGGUUUGUCAGUCUAUCUGCUGGUCGAUUUGGGGCCUUAUUACGAUUUUUGGGUAGUGGUUGUGGGGGUUUGGGGCUUUGUUAUGAUUUUUUAGUAGUGGCUGUGGGGGUUGAUAUUGGAGUAGGGUCAUGUUUAAGGGGGUUGGGGUUUGGGGCAAUUUUGGGAGGGGAGAAAAGGGGAGUGCAAGGGUGGGUGUGGGAUCUAGGCCAGGUAUUCAGGCUGGGCCAGCGAGGGGUGGAAGAGGUAGGCGAGAGGCGAGAGGAGAUAGGUUGAGGGUAGGGUCUUAGAACAUAGGGACCCUUCAAGGUAAGUCUAUAGAGUUGUUGAAAAUUCUUAAGAAGAGAAGGAUUAAAAUUAUGUGUGUUCAGGAGACUAAGUGGGUAGGGUCUAAGGCUAGGGAUGUGGAUGGGUACAAGUUGUGGUACUCAAGCAGUGAGAGGCAUCGUAAUAAAGUAGGAAUCUUAGUGGAUAAGGAGCUAAGAGGGCAGGUGGUGGAGGUUAAGAGGGUCAGUGAUAGGCUGAUAACGAUUAAGUUGGUCAUUGGGUGGUUUAUGGUGCAUGUGUGUAGCAUUUAUGCGCCACAGUUGGGCUUGGAUGAGAAGGUGAAAGCGUGUUUUUGGGAGGUUUUAGACGAGGUGGUGAGAAGCGUUCCUAGCUCUAAGAAGAUUAUCAUAGUGAGGGACUUCAAUGGGCAUAUUGGGGUUUUACCGGGUGGUUAUAAAGAUGUGUAUGGAGGAUUUGGUUUCGGUGAAAGAAAUGGUGAGGGGGUUGCUUUGUUGGAUUUUACGAGGGCCUUUGGGCUAGUGGUUGUGAAUUCGAGCUUUCCGAAGAAGGAGGAUCACUUGAUUACCUUUCAAAGUGCAACAGCCAAGACUCAAAUUGUCUUCCUACUGCUUAGGAAGGGGGAUAGGGUUCUUUGUAAGGAUUGUAAACUCAUUCCGAGUGAGCAUCUUUUGACCCAGCACAGGCUUUUGGUGAUGAACUUAAGUAUCAAGAAGAGCAAGAGGAGUAAGGUCGGAGUGAGUCGACCUAGAAUUAAGUGGGUGGCUUGACGCCAGUUAGUACAUUGGAGAUAGGGAAGAAGGUGGAGGGAAUAGAGGUGUGGGAGUGUAGAAGGGAUGUGGAUGAUAUGUGGGAUAAGGUGGCCAGCUGCAUCAGAGAGACAGCUAGAGAGGUGUUGGGGGUAUCGAGGGGUCGGGCAGGACGACAUAAGGAGGAAUGGUGGUAGAAUUAAUAAGUUAAGAAGAAAGUAAAGAUUAAGAAGGGGGCGUAUGUUAAGUUGAUUAAGAGUAAGGAUGAAGAUAAGAAGAAGGUGAAUAGGUAGGACUACAAAGUAGCAAGGAAAGAAGCUAAGUUAGCAGUUACGGCUACUAAGACAGCAGCGUUUGAGAGCUUGUAUGUGGGGUUAGAGGAGAAAGGUUGGGAAAAAGGGUUGUAUAGGCUUCCUAAGGCUAGGGAGAAUAAGGGUCGUGACCUCGAUCAAGUGAAGUGCAUUAAGAGGAAAAAUGGUAGAUUUUUUGUGGAGGAUGUUCACAUUAAGAAGAGAUGGCAGGAGUAUUUUCAUAGACUUUUAAACAAGGAAGGGAAUAGAGGUAUUGUGUUAGGGGAGUUAGAGCGCUCGUAAAAGAGCCGUGACUUCAGUUACUGCAGAUGUUUUAAGGUUGAGGAGGUUAGAGAGGCUAUUCGUAGGAUGCAAAGUACUAGGGCAACAGGGCCUGAUGAGAUUCCAGUGGAUUGUUAGAAGUAUGAUAGGGGGAAGGUUAAGGUGGUUGACUAAUAUGUUCAACGCCAUUUUCAAGAUUGUGAGAAUGCCCGAGGCUUGGAGAUAGAGUACGAUGAUUCCGUUAAAUAAAAACAAGGGUGACAUUCAGAGUUGCAACAACUAUAGGGGUAUUACGCUGUUGAGUCACACUAUGAAGAUUUGGGAGAGGGUGGUUGAGCGAAGAUUGAGGAGGGUCGUGCCCAUUUCGUAAAUCAGUUUCGUUUUAUUCCUAGUUGCUCAACGACAGAGGCAAUCCACCUGGUGAGAAGAUUGGUGGAGCAGUAUAGGGAAAGGAAGAGGGAUUUGCACAUGGUGUUCAUCGAUCUGGAGAAAGUGUAUGACAAAGUCCCUAGGGAGGUUCUUUGGAGAUUCCUGGAGGUGAGAGGAGUUCCGGUGGCGUACAUCAGAGAUAUUAAAGACAUGUGCGAUAGAGGGAAGACUCGGGUAAGGACGGUGGGAAGAGAUUCAGGGUAUUUUCCGAUCGAGAUAGGUUUGCACCAGGGUUCGACCAUAAGCCCAUUCCUAUUUGCGUUGGUGAUGGACAUGUUGAUGCGAAGUAUUCAAGGUGAGGUACCGUGGUGUAUGUUAUUUACGAAUGAUGUAGUGUUGAUUGAUGAGUCACGGGGGAUGUGAAUGAAAAAUUGGAGGUUUGGAGGCAAACCCUUGAAUCUAAGGGGUUCAGGUUGAGUAGGUCCAAGACGAAGUAUUUGGAAUGCAAGUUUAGUGACUCGAGUUAGGAGGACAGUGUAAUGAUGAGGUUAGAAUGUCAAGAUGUUUGUAAGACAGAUAGUUUCAAGUAUCUUGGGUCUAUGAUUCAGGGAAAUGGCGAGAUUGAUGAGGAUGUCUCUAAACUUGUUAGAGCUGGUUGGAUAAAGUGGAGGCUCGUCUCAGGAGUGUUGUGAUAAGAAGGUACCCCUUAAGAUUAAAGGAAAAUUCUACAAAGUGGCAGUCCGUCCGGCCAUGCUGUAUGGAGCGGAGUGUUGGCCAGUUAAGAAAUCUCAUAUCCAAAUAUUGAAAGUAGCGGAAAUGAGAAUGUUGCAUUGGAUAUGUGGUCUUACUAGAGGGGAUAAAUUUAGGAAUGAGAUUAUCUAGGAGAAGGUAGGAGUGGCUUCGGUGGAGAACAAGAUGCAAGAAGGCAGGUUGAGAUGGUUUGGGCAUGUGAUGAGGAGGAGCACGGAUGCCCCUGUUCGGAAGUGUGAGAGGCUAGCUUUGGAUAGAUUCAAGAGGUUUAUAGGUAGGCCAAAUAAAUAAUGGGGGGAGGUGAUUAGGCAUGACAUGGAGAUGCUUCAGCUUACUGAGGACAUGACCCUAGAUAGGAAGGUGUGGAGGUCGCGGAUUAGGGUAGAAGGCUAGUGUGAGUGUGUGGGUAGUGGCUAGGGAUUAGGAGAGUUUGGGUAUGAUGGGUGUCUUAGGUAUUGUGAGAGUAUGUCACUACUAGGUGAGUAUCCUUUUUCUUAUAUUUGUUGCGUAUUGCUCCUAUUUUUUCUUAUUUCGGAAUUCUCUGAUAUUUAUUGUUAUUAUCUCUUAUCUCUUAUUUUUGUUUAUGUUAUCCACCAUGUCUCAUGUUUCAUUACGGUCUUGGUAUACUAUUCUCAUUCUUGAGCCGGGGGUCUAUCGGAAACAACCUCUCUUCCUCUUCGGAGGUAGUGGUAUGGACUGCGUACAUUUUACCCUCUCCAGACCUCACUUUGUAAGAAUACACUGGGUCUAUUGUUGUUGUUGUAUAAAAUAAUGAAUGCCGAUGUUAAAUACAAAAUAUUAUAAAUAAUAAAUAAAAAUAUAAUUAUCUUGAAAAAAUAUAUUAUGCUAUAAAUAAUUAAAAUUAUACUGUGUAGUAAAAAAUUGCAGUGUUAUGCUGUGUACGUAUGUAAAGUACUGUGCAAAAAUAUUAAAAUAAUAAUAAACUGAUAGGAAUUUAUGAAAUUAAAGAUAAUUAUCAAUAAAUUAUGUAAAAUUAAAAUAUGAAAAUAAAUGAGUAAAAACUCUAAAAUAAUGAUAAUUAUCAACAAUUUAUUGACAAUUGCAAAAAAUAUGUAAAAAAUUGCAUAUUGUGCCAUUUAACGAUCAAGGAGCCUAAAUGUGUUAAUUUUAAGUAUGGAGAGCCAAAAUUGUGAUAAGUACGGGCAAGAAUGACAUGUGAUGCUUAAAUGAUAAAAUAAAUUCAUUGCGAUAUUUGCGAGGAAUACAGUGCUUAAAUAACAAAAUGCAUUGCGAUAUGAGCCAGUAAAGGCAAAAAUGACGUGCAGUGCUUAAAUAAGAAAAUAUAUGCAUUGUGAUAUAUGCGUGCAGUGCUUAAAUAGAAAAAUAAAUGCAUUGCGAUAAGCGCCAGCAAAGGAAAAGAUGGCAUGCAGUGCUUAAAUAAUAAAAUAAAUGCAUUAUGAAAUGUUCGUGUAGUGUUUCAACAACAACAACAUACCCAGUGUAUUUCCACCUAGUGGAGUCUGGGGAGGGUAGAGUGUACACAGACCAUACCACUACCUCAAGAGAAGUAGAGAGGCUAUUUCCGAUAGCGUACAGUGCUUAAACAAGAAAAUAAAUGCAUUGCGAUAUGCGCCAGUAAAAGCAAAGAUGACAUACAGUGCUUAAAUGGUGAAAUAAAUGCAUUGCGAGGCAUGCAGUGCUUAAAUAAUAAAUUGUAUUGAGAUAUGAGUCAGUAAAGUCAAAGAUAACACGCAGUGCUUAAAUAAUAAAAUAAAUACAGUGCGAUAUGCAAGUAAAGAUAAAGCUAACGUGCAGUGCUUAAAGGAUAACAUAAAUGCAUUGUGAUGUGUGCAAAUAAAGACAAAAAUAACACGCAGUGCUUAAAAUGAUGAAAUAAAUGCAUUGUAAUGCGUGCAAGUAAAGGAAAAGAUAGACUAUAGUUCUUAGAAUAUAAAAUAAAUGCAGUGCAGUGCAUGCAAGUAAAGACAAAGAUAACAUGUGAUGCUUAAACGAUAAAAUAAAUGCAUUGCGAUGCGUGCAAAUAAAGGCAAAGAUAACAUGUAAUGUAAAAGAAAUAAAUGCAGUGCGAUAUAUGCAAGUAAAGGCAAGCAAACAUGGAUAACUAUCUUUUGGAGGGCAGACCGACCCAAUUUAUUCUAUUUUAGGGUGGACAGACCCAUGUAAAAAUGAUUAUUGAGCAAAGAAUUAUUUGGGAAUGAAAGUGUUCACAUAUUUUUGAUGUUUCUUUCAAAAUUGCCCCAGUAUCGAGCUGUGGGGUACUGGGGGUGUAAGAUUGUGUACUUGUUGGAGAGAAAGAAUGAUUAUGGGGUUUUGAUGACCGAACUCUGCAUAGAGUUUCCUACAUAUCUCAAAUGUCAGGAGAAUCAGGUCAAUGUAGUUCGAAAUAGAAAAAUAGGGUACAUUUGAUGGCAUUUUUUUAAAAUUUUAACCCAGUGUAUGAUUUAUGGCUAAAACCGCCUCUUUGAGAUUAAAAAAAUCUUGAAAAGUUGUAUGACGUCUUCGAUUGUCUACGAAGACUAAGGCCCUCAACUAGUGAAGUGACUAAAAUCUAAUAGCCUUUCAAGUGAUGAGGCUAUUGAAAUGUAAAAAGCUCUAUAUUGACAGAAGAAAUGUAAUACCUCUCGAUUGGCAAGACUAUAAAAAAUGUAAAAAAUACUCAAAAAUGGGUGCUUGGCUUAAAAACAAAAUUUCGGUAUUUGAAGGAAUAUGCUUGAAAAAAAGUCAAAUGCUCGUAUUUCAAAACUGUGCGCCUUGCAUGAAAAGUAAAAAAUGCAUGUAUGUAAAAAUAGAUACCUUGAAUGAAAGGUAAAAAAAAAAAUGUCUGUAUGCGAAAGUGGGCGUCUUGGAAAAAGGAAAGAAAAUUUUCUCGAUAAAAAGUGCUGAAAGAUGAAGAAAACACAAUCGUGUCUUGACUUCAGUUGGUACUAAUAAUUAAUAGUGUACAUACGAAUUUCCCUAUUUCCUUCCCAGCUAACUGAGAUCGACUUCAGGGUAACUCCUAUAGUUUUAAGUGGUACCUCAAACACGCCUAAGUAUCGACAAGAUUUUUUGUGUUGCUUCAAGCAAAUGUUUCGAGUUAUGCCCAUCAUCAUGCUUCAAGGGCCCUCUCUAGAAAAAAGGUCUCAUUUCGCACAUAUUUGUGUAAAAGAAAUCCCCAUUUCGUACAUACUUGAAUAUUUUUUUCUUUUUAAAUUUGGGGACAUCUAGAGAAAUACACUCACGCUCAGAAAGAAAUUAAUACAUGCAAUUGUGAUACCAAAGGCUUGACCUCCAUGUAAGUAUCCACUAAUGUGAGAACGCUUGAAAUAGGAUCCUGUAGGACUUGUUAUUGUCUUGUAAUGUAGGCUUGAGGGCGGGUAGGAUAAUAUUUGGGAUGAAAGUAACUAAUUCCUUAAUGAGCAUUACACUGCAUUUGUGUUUUUAACAGUUGUUGUGCUUUGACGCGUGAUCUUCUUUGUUGCGCUUCAUUGUUCCUUGUUUUGUAUUCGUGUCGACUUUUUUUUUUAAUUUUGUGUUGGAGUUUUUUCCCUUUUUUUAAGAAAUUAUAUAUUUUUUGUUCUUUUUUUUCUUCUCUUUUUUUCUGGUGGGGUUUUGCUCCUGUUCAAAUCGUUUUUUCAUUUUUUUUUCAUCUGGAAAAUAUAUCCUUUGCAUUUUACAUUUUUUAUCUUGAAUAUUCGUCCGCAAUUUGCACGCAUUUAGUGCGCUCAAGGAGGUAGGGCCAAGAGAGAGAUAGUGCACGUAAACACUCAAAAAGGUAUAGGCUCAAAUGCGGUUGUUCAAAAAAAAGUUUUAGGCUCAAAAGAGGAAAUGCUAGGGAUUAAUGUCAUUUAGUGGGCUGUGAAAGGCUCAAUCGGUCCAAAGAAGGCCUACAAUCCUUUCGUAAAUCAAGUGUAACUCAGAAUUUCACCUCAAUGGACAUUAAGAACAAGUUCUAGAUCAACAAUGCAAUACAAUGAAUUAAACUAAAGCUAACCACACAAUGCACAUGAAACAAUGAUAUUAGUUUCGUUCUUGUUUUAAAUGUAGGCAAGAGAAUUUUCAAGCAUUACUUAGGUGUGAUAAAGGUACCAAAAGAAUCUAUGGUUUACCAUGAAGUCGGUCCUUUUCAUCAUACCAGUUUGUUCUUUCUCAUGCACACUCCUAACGGUAUCGGUAACAACCAAGUCAAAAUUAAUUUUUAUUAUUUUUUUUUUUUUGAAAAGAAUGAGACCGAAUCCAAACGAGGGUUGCCUACGUAUCUUGUAAAAACAAGAAUCAGACCUGCGUAGUUCAGGCAAAUUUGCAAAUUAGUAUGUGCAAUGUAUGAUUGUAAAAAUAAUGAUGGUCAUCCUAAAAAAUAAUAUGAAAGAUGAUCGGGAAUGAAUUGCUUUUAACAUUAAAAAUGCACUGAUCAAAUGAUCGAAAGAAUGAAUAUCAAGCAUGGGGAGAGCUUUGACACAACUUCAGUAUGCUGACAAGAUUGAAAAAGUCAGACAUUAAAGGAAUAAUGACAUUAUUUCGUCGUAGUUGCAGUAUUAUUAUAACUGAAAAAAUAUUGAACUUCUGCUUUUGAAAGUGAGGAUCGAUACGCCAUAAAUUUAAUGAUUUACGACAUUCAAAAGAAGAAGCUAAGUAUUCUUGCACAAAAAUUUGGUGAGGAUCUUAAGAUAGGUCGACUAAGCACUAAUGUCAAUGAGAUUUGGAUUUGAUGAGCUAUUGAUUUGUACUCUUGAGGACUUUUGAAGAGCGNNNNNNNNNNNNNNNNNNNNNNNNNNNNNNNNNNNNNNNNNNNNNNNNNNNNNNNNNNNNNNNNNNNNNNNNNNNNNNNNNNNNNNNNNNNNNNNNNNNNNNNNNNNNNNNNNNNNNNNNNNNNNNNNNNNNNNGUCUUUGAGCUGUUUCAAAAAAAUUUCUCAGUUUAAAUGCAGGAGAAAUUAUUCUGAAACGGUGGAGAGACCGAAUUCUAAUGCAGAGUUGCCUAUGUAUCUUGUCAGGACAAGAAUCGGGUCAAAACGUAGUUCAAACCUAUAUGAAGCUAAUGACGAUGUUAUUAAGGUGCAUUUUUAACUGAUUUGUUAUGCAAAACAAAGGUUAGACUACACUCUCUCACUAAAGUAUAAUCAAUUUAGAGCAAAAAAAUAUGUACAGACACAAUAAUCCUUUAAAUAUGUACAAACACUAUGAUAAUGCGUCACUUGGGUCGUGAAUCCUUCGGACAUAAAGUUACUAACGAUGCAUGCACCUAAAAUGGUGUUAUUUAACUAUAUCCCAUGUUGACUAAGAGUGGGUAGACACAUACUUAGAUUUCCCAUAUGAGAAGGCACGUAGUCCCACGACAGUAGAACUCCCAUUCACCCCACGCAUGCGCGGACUCUCUAAAAUAAGAUGAUUUGAAAGAAUUUUGGGAAAGUACAAUGUACAAUAUGUGUGAGUAUCAAUUUUCAAAAUGAAGAAAAUAUGAACGGAAUGUCAAUUUAUAUAAAGCGAUAAACAAAUAAAUAAUUUAUGCCACAUAAACAAAAGAAAUCAAGAUAAUUAGUAUGAAACAAAUAACAAUAUUUAAAAACAUAAAUAUUUACCUAAAUCUAUAACGGUUAGAGCCAUUCUCAAUCCCCUGCAGAGUCGCCAAACUGUCAUACUCAAUUUUUACCUAAGGUCAAAACGAGCACGACAUUAUGAACUCAAAAAGAAUUAAUUUUGUACAGAGUCGCCAGCUAAUUUUUAAGGAAAAAUAGAAAACCUAUUUAUUUAUUUAACAAGUAUGACUUUAUUUCAAUCUACGAAACCAAUUUAAAUUCUAGGUAAGGGUUCGAAUUAUUUCGAAGGGAAGAGAUUAGACACCCUUCAAAAUGCACAAAUACGAUUUCCAACCAGUCAGGUUUAUUAAAAGAGAAAAAAAAAAUCAAUAUUUUAAAUGCAACUAUAAAAUGUGUAUUAAAAUAAUAUAGACAAUUUAAUAUAAAAGUAUGAAUUAUUUGAUUAAAUAUGUGAAUCAAUUUUAAUAUAAAAUGUUAACAGCCUAAAUUUGCCUAAACGCGCGAUGAAUAUUUGUAUAAAAGUAUUCUCACCCCACGCCCCAAAAAAUAAAAUUUUCACUAUAAUUGAUAUUUGUACAAUGAUAAGAAUAAAGGAAAAUACAAAUACAAAAAAAAUUCAAACUCUUCUUUGAAUAUCAUUUCCGGCUAGUAUUCCCGAGAACCAAAAGAAUAUCAUUCCCGACGAGUAUUCCCGAGAAUCUACACAAAUGCUUGUAAUAAAAAUAUUAGUAACAAAUAAAUAAUUAUCAAAAUAAAUUUAAAAGGUAUGUGUGCAUAUAUGUAUUUAAAAAUAUAUUUUUUUGCUAAAAAAAUAGGCUCAAAUUAGAUUUAAGAUACAACUUGGAUACGAAGUAGUUGCUGAUUUGUUAGCCAUCCUAAAAAAACUUUUUGCGUUGUUAUAAAAAUUUCAUCAUCGCCCAAAUUUAUUUAUUUUAUUACGUAUUUAUAUAUGCAAUAUCCGUCUUUUAUAAUGAGAUGACCUCAAAUAUCUAAUCGGAGAGAUAAUUUCAUUGGAGAAUAGCAUAGUAUUUGUUCGUUAUUAAUUUAAUAAAAUUAAUAUGGACAAAAAUGUAAUGUAAUUGCCCAAAAGAGAGACAAUAGCAGCCAUGAAACUAGCAUAGCAACAACCCAAAACAAAGGCAAUAACAACUAUGAUACCCGCAAAGAAACAACCAAAAUAAAGGUAAUAACUGCUAUGACACCAGCAAAGUAACAACCAAAAUAAAGGUAAUAACAGCUAUGAUACCAGCAAAGUAACAACGAAAAUACCCGAACAAAUCACAAAUCUACUAAAGAUUUGAAAAAAAAUGAUAUAAUGAACAACAACAAAUAGAUCAAGCAAAUAAUUACAACAUAUACAAAUAUGUAUCAAAGAAGAGGUCAUCGGAUACGACAUCUUGUCUGCCAGAUCCGUGUAAAACAAAGCCCACAACAUACAAAAUUAAUGAGACGCAGUUCAUCAGAAGUAAAACUCGAAGCAAUGGUAAUUACCAUUACCGGCGUUGCUUUAACGACUUUCGCCGAAGCAACGCCGGAUACACAAAGCUCCGGACAGAUCUGGUGGUUUCUCACUGGGGGGAUUCGCCGGAAAUGCAAAAAAGGAGGGCGGCGCCGGUAGUUUGGGCUAGAGCUCGCCGGAGAUGGAGGAAGAGGAUAGAAGGGAGAGAGGGGUGGUGGUGCCUGGUGGUUUGCCGAAAUUCGGCCAUAGCUCACCGAAGAGAGGAGAGAAAAAAAAGGUCCACUGAUUUUGUGCGUAUGUGCUUGUAUUUUGUGUGUAGUGUGUGGGUGGA
rnacentral:lncRNA from 1 species